AGGUUUGAUUAUGGCUCAGAUUGAACGCUGGCGGGAUGCUUUACACAUGCAAGUCGAACGGCAGCACGGACUUCGGUCUGGUGGCGAGUGGCGAACGGGUGAGUAAUGUAUCGGAACGUGCCUGUGGCGGGGAUAACUACGCGAAAGCGUAGCUAAUACCAUACGCCCUUCGGGGGCAAGCGGGGACCUUCGGGCCUCGCACUAUUAGAGCGGCCGAUAUCGGAUUAGCUAGUUGGUGGGGUAACGGCUCACCAAGGCAGGCGAUCCGUAGCUGGUUUGAGAGGACGACCAGCCACACUGGGACUGAGACACGGCCCAGACUCCUACGAGGGGGGCAGCAGUGGGGAAUUUUGGACAAUGGGGAAACCCUGAUCCAGCCAUCCCGCGUGUGCGAUGAAGGCAACUUCAGGUUGUAAAGCACUUUUGGCAGGAAAAGAAACGGCACGGGAUAAUACCCGAUACGGCAAACAAUUGCUACACCAGAAUAUAAGCACCGGCUAACUACGUGCCAGCAGCCGCGGUAAUACGUAGGGUGCAAGCGUUAAAUCGGAAUUACUGGGCGUAAAGCGUGCGCAGGCGGUUCGGAAAGAAAGAUGUGAAAUCCAGAGCUUAACUUUGGAACUGCAUUUUUAACUACCGAGCUAGAGAGUGUGUCAGAGAGGUGGAAUUCCGCGUGUAGCAGUGAAAUGCGUAGAUAUGCGGAGGAACACCGAGAAGGCGAAAAGAGCUGACCUCCUGGGAUAACACUGACGCUCAUGCACGAAAGCGUGGGGAGCAAACAGGAUUAGAUACCCUGGUAGUCCACGCCUAAACGAUGUCAACUAGCUGUUGGGGCCUUCGGGCCUUGGUAGCGCAGCUAACGCGUGAAGUUGACCGCCUGGGGAGUACGGUCGCAAGAUUAAAACUCAAAGGAAUUGACGGGGACCCGCACAAGCGGUGGAUGAUGUGGAUUAAUUCGAUGCAACGCGAAAAACCUUACCUACCCUUGACAUGUCUGGAAUCCCGAAGAGAUUUGGGAGUGCUCGCAAGAGAACCGGAACACAGGUGCUGCAUGGCUGUCGUCAGCUCGUGUCGUGAGAUGUUAGGUUCAGUCCUGAGCGCAACCCUUGCCAAUGUUAGUUGCUACGAAAGGGCACUCUAAUGAGACUGCCGAUGACAAACCAGAGGAAGAUGAGGAUGACAUCAAAGUCAUGGCCCUUAUGGGUAGGGCUUCACGUCAUACAAUGGUCGGGACAGAGGGUCGCCAACCCGCGAGGAGCCAAUCCCAGAAACCCGAUCGUAGUCCGGAUCGCAGUCUGCAACUCGACUGCGUGAAGUCAGAUAUUAGUAAUCGCGGAUCAGCAUGUCGCGGUGAAUACGUUCCCGGGUCUUGUACACCGCCCGUCACACCAUGGGAGUGGGUUUACCAGAAGUAGUUAGCCUAACCGUAAGGAGGCGAUUACCACGGUAGGAUUCAUGACUGGGGUGAAGUCGUAACAAGGUAG
rnacentral:rRNA from 1 species